CUUCUUCAAAAUGGUCAGCGGGUCUCUUUGACUGACAGACGGCCGUCCGUGUAUUGUAGACAGUAUUCGUUAUGUCCGUCUGUCUUGUAUAAAUGUUCAUAUAUGCUUCCUUUUAGGUUGGACAAGUGGCUACGGGGUCAAGGAACCCCAAUCUAAAGUCUAGGACCUACCUAAGAUAAGAGCUCAUAUCCUAGCGCCUAUUUGGUUCCCUAUAUCCGGGACGAGAUUACCGUGAAGAGCACUCCCUUGUCUAACCGAACAUCGUCCGUCAGUGUCCUAGUCCUGGAUAUACCGCUGCAACCAGGAGGGCUGCAGAAUGCUGGAUCUCCCACGCUGGACUGGAGCGGUACUGGUGGCUGACGGUGGGAACGAUGAGUUCGUGACUUUUACCGAUAUUUUGCGUGCUUAGCGCUUUCGUUGUGAUUCUGCUGGCAGGUUCAUAUGCUUCGUGUGUAUAUUAGGUGAUGGUUUACGAGCGUUUACAGCCUUCGAAAUUGUUCACAGGUUUGAUAAUUAAAACAAGGGGAAAAAAAUGUUCACCGUGUUUAAAUAAACGCUACUGCCAUCUAUUAAUAAAAAAAUGCAC